GUGGAGCCUUGGGGUCGAAACUUGGAGUAAACGCCUCCACAAAGUCGGUUUCACCCGAAAGGCAAGAGUCCUUCUCGGACUCCAGGGCCAGACGCCAGGGUUCCCGGCAUCUGGACCCAGACGCCAGGAACCCUGGCGUCUGGCCCUGGAGUUCGAGAAGGACUCUUGCCUUUCGGGUGAAACCGACUUUGUG
rnacentral:SRP_RNA from 9 species